CCCCUCUCAGGGUCGCACCUGGAGAGUUUCCAGUAUUCUACCAGUCUUGGUUACUGGGAGGGACAGUCAAGCAGAGGCCUACCCACUCUAUUCCUAGCUUGGCCAGUGGCUAGCGAGUGGAAGGCAAUCUGCUACAAGU
rnacentral:snoRNA from 2 species